UACGAAGGGUGCAAGCGUUACUCGGAAUUACUGGGCGUAAAGCGUGCGUAGGUGGUUUGUUAAGUCUGCUGUGAAAGCCCGGGCUCAACCUGGGAAUGGCAGUGGAUACUGGCAAGCUAGAGUGCGGUAGAGGGUGUGGAAUUCCCGGUGUAGCGGUGAAAUGCGUAGAGAUCGGGAGGAACACCAGUGGCGAAGGCGGCACCCUGGACCAGCACUGACACUGAGGCACGAAAGCGUGGGGAGCAAACAGG
rnacentral:rRNA from 1 species